rnacentral:rRNA from 1 species
UAGGGAAUCUUCGGCAAUGGACGAAAGUCUGACCGAGCAACGCCGCGUGAGUGAAGAAGGUUUUCGGAUCGUAAAACUCUGUUGUUAGAGAAGAACAAGGACGUUAGUAACUGAACGUCCCCUGACGGUAUCUAACCAGAAAGCCACGGCUAACUACGUGCCAGCAGCCGCGGUAAUACGUAGGUGGCAAGCGUUGUCCGGUUUUAUUGGGCGUAAAGCGAGCGCAGGCGGUUUCUUAAGUCUGAUGUGAAAGCCCCCGGCUCAACCGGGGAGGGUCAUUGGAAACUGGGAGACUUGAGUGCAGAAGAGGAGAGUGGAAUUCCAUGUGUAGCGGUGAAAUGCGUAGAUAUAUGGAGGAACACCAGUGGCGAAGGCGGCUCGCUGGUCUGUAACUGACGCUGAGGCUCGAAAGCGUGGGGAGCAAACAGG